CCAUGUCUCGCCUGCGCUGGUGCCCGUUGCAACGGGUGAAAAGGGAAUGGGUCAGAAACCCAGCCGCCCCCGCGACCGUGACCGGAGAGGUCGCCCGACGCCACUGGCCACCCGGCCGGGAAGGCGGGACGACCGCGGGCCAACGCCCACAUCCGCAAGCCGGGAGACCUGCCAGCCGGAACGAUGAACG
rnacentral:ncRNA from 1 species